GGCGAACGGGUGAGUAAUACAUCGGAACGUGCCCAGUAGUGGGGGAUAACCAGUCGAAAGACUGGCUAAUACCGCAUACGAUCUACGGAUGAAAGCGGGGGACCGCAAGGCCUCGCGCUAUUGGAGCGGCCGAUGUCGGAUUAGCUAGUUGGCGGGGUAAGAGCCCACCAAGGCGACGAUCCGUAGCUGGUCUGAGAGGAUGACCAGCCACACUGGAACUGAGACACGGUCCAGACUCCUACGGGAGGCAGCAGUGGGGAAUUUUGGACAAUGGGCGCAAGCCUGAUCCAGCCAUGCCGCGUGAGUGAAGAAGGCCUUCGGGUUGUAAAGCUCUUUCGGCGGGGACGAAACGGUCCGGGCUAACACCACGGACUAAUGACGGUACUCGCAGAAGAAGCACCGGCUAACUACGUGCCAGCAGCCGCGGUAAUACGUAGGGUGCGGGCGUUAAUCGGAAUUACUGGGCGUAAAGCGUGCGUAGGCGGCUCCUUAAGUCAGAUGUGAAAGCCCCGGGCUUAACCUGGGAACUGCG
rnacentral:rRNA from 1 species